CAAUCAAUGGUAUCGUCUUUUUACGUUUACUGUGUAGACAUGAUAUGAAUCUGAUUCUGAUGGUGUUUGGAUUUUGCAUGAGUGCAGGGGAAGGGAACAGGGAGUUUCGGUAAGAGGAAGAACAAGACCCACACCCUCUGUGUUAGAUGUGGCCGUCGCAGUUUCCACCUCCAGAAAAUAUAACUGGAGCGUCAAGGCCAUUAGGAGAAAGACCACCGGAACGGGAAGAAUGAGGUAUCUGCGUCACGUGCCUCGCAGAUUCAAGAGCGGCUUCAGAGAGGGUACCGAAGCUGCACCCAGGCAGAGAGGAGCGGCUACCACUGCCUAAGCUUUCGAAGUUAAUUCUUAUAGGUCUCAUGAAUUUUUAAAGCUGGAAAACGAGAUUGGAAAUAUCACAAGACAUGAAGCUAUCAAUAUGGUGUGCAACCACAUUGAGGCUGAGGGAGCAAAAUUUGAAAUAUGUAUUCAUAGUCAUCACAAGGUACGAAUGAAAAAUUGCAGAAUGAAAAAUUUACCUUUCUGUUGGUUAUUCCUGCAUGGAGGUGUUUGGUCAAGGCAGUUCUAGUAAGUUCCAACAUCCUUGUAUUUGCAGUCCUUAAGCAAAGUUUUCUUCUCAUUGUUGUACCAUCUUCAAGCUAGAAAUCUUUAUAGUUAAAGGUGAUUCAGCUGAAGGAAGUGCUAAGCAAGGGUGUGACAGGCGCUUCCAGGUAAAAUAUACAUGUUUCCAUUAAAGAAGAGUAUCGAAGGAAUAUUAAUGAACUUAUUGUAUUUGAUUAUUCCACUACUUUAUUAAUCACUUAUUUAUUCAAUGCACAUACACCAUUUAGCUAUUUAGUUGUUUCAUUUUUGUACUGUAUGUCCAUCGGUCACUCGGCUAAAUAUAAGACCCUCAGGGGACCAUCGGUCUUACGGUCAAACGAAUAGUCAUGAAGCAUCGUUAAAACAUAAGACCAUCGGUCAAACAGAUAAAAUGUCAUACCAUUGGUCAAACGGUCAAACAUACAAGUCAAGACUUAAUCGUAUUCAUACCCAUCGGCCAAUCGGUAACAUAGCAACGUUGGACCCUCUGACCUCUAGGGCCCAUCGGCCAAUCGGUAAAAUAGCAAUGUUGGACCCUCUGACCUCUAGGGCCCAUCGGCCAAUCGGUAAAAUAGCAACGUUGGACCCUCUGACCUCUAGGGCCCAUCGGCUCAUCGGUACAACAAUAACAGCGGACCCUUUGGCCGCGAGAGUCCAUCGGUUCAUCAGUAGAACAGCAGCGACGGACCUCAUAAAAUACUUGACGGUCGAUCGGUAAAACACAUUAUUAGCUUGUUGAAAGCAUAUCGUCAUUAACCCAGCAAAGCGACCAUCGGUCGCACAGUAAUAUAACUUAAGCCAGUGAUUAUCGGUUAAACGAGUCAAUAAUCGUCAUUAAGGGAUCAUUGGGCCGUGAUUAAGAAACCCUAAUUACAAGCCCAUGUCGAAAGCUAUAAAUAGGGCCCAAAGGUAGGUUGGUAAGGAUCUUAAUUGCGCAUUUAUUACAACUGAUAUACUGACGCACCGAUCGGUCCGUUCUGACUUAAGCAUCGGAGUAUUUUAGACAGGUACCCCGAUCGUCAUCCCAACCGAUCGAGCUAAGGAGUGGAUUUAGUUGAAGUCAUUGGAGAGAAGGAAGAUAUCGCGAAGUGAACGAGUUCUUUUAGUAGGCUCUUGGUCCCUACCCCGAAACAAUUUUCAUUCUUUUAAAAUAAAGGCUUCACAAACUCAUAUAACUAAUAAUUUUAUUUUGUAAGAUUUUCCCUUAGUAAUUUAAUCUAUGUCUAGUUUAAUAUGUUUAGAGUGGAUACGGUAUAUUAUCUAUAUGAUGUAUUUAAAAGUAUAUUUCAGUUGCUUUUGAAUCUUAUUACUCCAUUCAAAUUAUGAUUCAUGAUUCAAAAAUAUGCUUGGCGAUUUACAACUGAAAUCUCAAUUUGAUAACAUUGCCUAAAAGAUUGAGUUCUCAGGCCAUGACAGACGAACACACUCAUUGGUUUUGUUGUUGUCAUUAAAGCUUUAUGUUACCUUUUGAGUGUAAGAAAACAUUAUAACUAAGGUAAUGUUGUGAUGAGUAGAAAUAUAAAAUUGAGAAUGUGGUUUUUAUACUACUAACGGUCAUUUUUCUACUUCCUGUAUCUAAUCACUUGAAUUUUGUUUACUGACAUGUAGAGCACUUUAUCAGAAUUAUUUGGAGUUAUGUAAGUGCAUCUAUUUAUCAGAGCAUAUUUGAUGCAAGGCCAUUCUCCCUUUGAGGGGUAAGAUUCUGAAUAUUAAAAGGAGGGAUGAAGCAGGAAUGUACAAAAUGGAAGAGAUCAAAAUUUUAUUUUCGGGUUUGAUCUUGGUGUGAAGGUUAAAAUACUUCCUGUUUCAUUAAUUUGCUAUUAAUGACCGAGUUAAAGCACACAAAUAAACUGAUAAAAAACACAAAUGAAUAAUUAGUGAAAGUUCUGAUAGAUAGGCCACGGUUAGGCUUAAAUAAAUUAUAGAAUAUUACUAAAUUGAUAUAUCUUCAAUUGCUAAAUUGUAAGUUUUUGUCUUUGUCAUUUUCUUCUUAAUUAUAUUAAAAUAGAAGUAAUUUGAUAUAUGAUCUAGAGUCUAGUGGAAAAUUAACUUGCAUGAAGUUCAAAUUUGAAAAAGUAAAUCCAAUCUUUAAAUUGCUGAGAUUUCCAAAUGGAGGCCAACAAAAGAACCAAGUUAACAUCAAUUGAUGUGAUUUUAUUAAAAGUGAAUUUAGAGUAACUUGGUAGAAGUUUUGUGCACUGUUGUCAUGGUAUUAUCUUAACCUUUUUGAGUUGUUGGGUAUAUUCAAUCACUCUUGAUCAUUGCAGCGAUGGAUGUUGUUGUCUACGGGAAAUUAGUAUUUAAAUUUUGUAACUUGAGGACGAUUGAAGUACUGAUAUGAAAUUCAACGUGAUCAUGAUGGAUUUCGAAUGCUCAAAAGAAGGAUGUGGUGGUAAUGUCAUCAACAACCUAACACUCAUUGCUUGCUACAAAAGAUCGGAUUUUAGUAUUUCACUUUAAAAUGUUCACCAGUUAUCAACUAACUAUUAAAGUUGACACAGAUUGAGAUGUCAAACUUGACUUAGCUUUGGUUUCUUGUUUAUUAUUUACAACUGGUUGUGAAUGAUAUAGAAUGCUUUUGCUGUCUACGUAGAAAUAAAUGCUUUCUCAUUGUCCCAAAACAAA